GAUGAACGCUGGCGGCGUGCCUAAUACAUGCAAGUCGAGCGAACAGAUGAGGAGCUUGCUCCUCUGACGUUAGCGGCGGACGGGUGAGUAACACGUGGAUAACCUACCUAUAAGACUGGGAUAACUUCGGGAAACCGGAGCUAAUACCGGAUAAUAUAUUGAACCGCAUGGUUCAAUAGUGAAAGACGGUUUUGCUGUCACUUAUAGAUGAAUCCGCGCCGCAUUAGCUAGUUGGUAAGGUAACGGCUUACCAAGGCAACGAUGCGUAGCCGACCUGAGAGGGUGAUCGGCCACACUGGAACUGAGACACGGUCCAGACUCCUACGGGAGGCAGCAGUAGGGAAUCUUCCGCAAUGGGCGAAAGCCUGACGGAGCAACGCCGCGUGAGUGAAGAAGGUCUUCGGAUCGUAAAACUCUGUUAUUAGGGAAGAACAAAUGUGUAAGUAACUAUGCACGUCUUGACGGUACCUAAUCAGAAAGCCACGGCUAACUACGUG
rnacentral:rRNA from 1 species